UACGUAGGGGGCAAGCGUUGUCCGGAUUUAUUGGGCGUAAAGAGCGUGUAGGCGGCCAGGCAGGUCCGCUGUGAAAACUCGAGGCUCAACCUCGAGAUGUCGGUGGAAACCGUCUGGCUAGAGUCCGGAAGAGGAGAGUGGAAUUCCCGGUGUAGCGGUGAAAUGCGCAGAUAUCGGGAAGAACACCCGUGGCGAAGGCGGCUCUCUGGGACGGUACUGACGCUGAGACGCGAAAGCGUGGGGAGCGAACAGG
rnacentral:rRNA from 1 species